GGAAGAGGAACAACAUCCAUGUAUGGUUUGCAUCCAAGGCAUCAAACUCAUUUCUAAUGGCAUCCUGCCAUACUGGAACAGAUGCAGCUUGAGAGUAAUAGAGAGGUUCAGAUUCCAGAGAAGAAGAGCCUGAAAAGGAAGGAAGUUGACAGACAUAGUCCUUAAGAUAAGAGGGAGGAUUAUGAUGUCUUCCAGAUUUUCUGGGAGCAGGAAGAGAUGUGGAAGAAGGCAAAUCAGGAGGAGAAAUAUCAAGAUUGAAGGGGGGAAUGGAGGCUGGAUUAGAAGAAGGGGAAGUUGUGGCAGAAGGAGGAAGAGGAGAGGAACAGAUAGGUAUAAACAAGUUUGUAUCAAAGGAGGAAUGCUCAAGAGAAGGAACAAAAGGAAAGGAAGAAGGAGCAGGAAGAGCAGAAGAUGAAACAGUUUUAAAAGGAAAGUAGGUUUCAUGAAAUAUAACAUCCCUGGAGACAAAGUAUUUUUUGGAAGCGAGAUCAUAAAGCUUAUAACCCUUUUUGGCAAAAGGAUACCCAAUGAAUACACAAGAAAGGCUCUAGGUUUCAACUUGUCCCUUUGAGGAAUUGGCGAGACAAGGUAUUUUUUGGAAGUGAAAUCAUAAAGCUUAUAACCCUUUUUGGCAAAAGGAUACCCAAUGAAUACGCAGGAAACGGCUCUAGGUUUAAACUUGUCCCUUUGAGGAAUUGGGAUAGUAGCAUAGGCAAGGCACCCAAAUGCUGUCAAAUGAGAGUAGGUUGGUGCCUUUCCAUGCAAAACUUCAUAGGGAGAUUUAUGAUGAAGGAGUCUGGAUGGUAUUCUGUUAAGGAGAUAGGUGGCAGUUAGUAAGCAGUCCCCCAAGAAAGAGAUGGGUAAGCCAGAUUGAAAGAGUAAAGCUCUACAUGUCUCAAGAAGAGUCCUAU
rnacentral:lncRNA from 1 species